rnacentral:rRNA from 1 species
UACGUAGGGGGCGAGCGUUGUCCGGAAUUACUGGGUGUAAAGGGCGUGUAGGCGGGGAUGCAAGUUAUCGGUUAAAACCCAAGGCUCAACCUUGGGCUUGCCGGUAAAACUGUGUCUCUUGAGUAUAGGAGAGGGAAGUGGAAUUCCCGGAGUAGCGGUGAAAUGCGUAGAUACCGGGAGGAACACCAGUGGCGAAGGCGGCUUCCUGGCCUAUUACUGACGCUGAGGCGCGAAAGCUAGGGUAGCGAACGGGAUUAGAUACCCCGGUAGUCCUAGCCGUAAACGAUGGUUACUAGGUGUGGGUGGUGGUCAAGCCAUCCGUGCCGGAGCUAACGCAAUAAGUAACCCACCUGGGGAGUACGGCCGCAAGGUUGAA